rnacentral:rRNA from 1 species
GACAGAGGGUGCAAACGUUGUUCGGAAUUACUGGGCGUAAAGCGCGUGUAGGCGGCUAAGUAAGUCGGGCGUGAAAUCCCACGGCUCAACCGUGGAAGCGCACUCGAAACUGCAUAGCUAGAGUCCUGGAGAGGAAGGUGGAAUGCUUGGUGUAGAGGUGAAAUUCGUAGAUAUCAAGCGGAACACCGGUGGCGAAGGCGGCCUUCUGGACAGUGACUGACGCUGAGACGCGAAAGCGUGGGGAGCAAACAGGG